rnacentral:rRNA from 1 species
UUUACCCUACUGAUGAAUGUUAUCGCAAUAGUAAUUGAACUUAGUACGAGAGGAACCGUUCAUUCAGAUAAUUGGUUUUUGCGGCUGUCUGACCAGGCAGUGCCGCGAAGCUACCAUCUGCUGGAUUAUGGCUGAACGCCUCUAAGUCAGAAUCCCUGCUAGAACGCGACGAUUCUACCUCCCCCGAUGUGACUCGGUACCGAUAGGCGCAAGCCCAACACCAUAGCACAUCGCAAUUCGGCGUAUUGGGGGAGAUAAAUCCUUUGCAGACGACUUAAAUAUCGAACGGGGUAUUGUAAGUGGCAGAGUGGCCUUGUUGCUA